AGGGGUUGGUCGGUGAAAACCACGAUAGCGUGCGUCUGGAAGUAUGGACGGAGCCGCUGUGUUGAAAUAACCAGAGCAAAUAUCAUUUUCUCUGCCUUCGAGUAUCGAGUUUCGGCUUCGUGAAGCACUUUGCUGACCUAAUAUAUUGGUUGGUGAACUCGAUUCUCGUUCUCUCGAACGAGCACCGAGCUAACUGCCUCUGGGGAGGU
rnacentral:lncRNA from 1 species